rnacentral:rRNA from 1 species
GAUGAACGCUGGCGGCGUGCUUAACACAUGCAAGUCGAACGGAAAGGCUCCUGCUUUCAGGGGUACUCGAGUGGCGAACGGGUGAGUAACACGUGGGUAAUCUGCCCUUCACUUCGGGAUAAGCCCGGGAAACUGGGGCUAAUACCGGAUAGGACGAUCGGCUGCAUGGCAUGGUGUAGAGAUUUUCGGCGGUGGGGGAUGGGCUCGCGGCUUAUCAGCUUGUUGGUGGGGUAGUGGCCUACCAAGGCGUCGACGGGUAGCCGGCCUGAGAGGGUGAACGGCCACAUUGGGACUGAGAUACGGCCCAGACUCCUACGGGAGGCAGCAGUGGGGAAUAUUGCACAAUGGGCGGAAGCCUGAUGCAGCGACGCCGCGUGGGGGAUGACGGCCUUCGGGUUGUAAACUGCUUUCGCUAGGGACGAAGCGCGAGUGACGGUAACGGGAGAAGAAGCACCGGCUAACUACGUG